GCGGGAGUAGCUCAAUGGUAGAGCACCAGCCUUCCAAGCUGGGUACGCGGGUUCGAUUCCCGUCUCCCGCUCCA
rnacentral:tRNA from 1 species